rnacentral:rRNA from 1 species
UGUGAACUCGAAGAGUAGGGCGGGACACGUGGUAUCCUGUCUGAAUAUGGGGGGACCAUCCUCCAAGGCUAAAUACUCCUGACUGACCGAUAGUGAACCAGUACCGUGAGGGAAAGGCGAAAAGAACCCCGGCGAGGGGAGUGAAAAAGAACCUGAAACCGUGUACGUACAAGCAGUGGGAGCACCUUCGGGUGUGACUGCGUACCUUUUGUAUAAUGGGUCAGCGACUUAUAUUCUGUAGCAAGGUUAACCGUAUAGGGGAGCCGCAGGGAAACCGAGUCUUAACUGGGCGUUAAGUUGCAGGGUAUAGACCCGAAACCCGGUGAUCUAGCCAUGGGCAGGUUGAAGGUUGGGUAACACUAACUGGAGGACCGAACCGACUAAUGUUGAAAAAUUAGCGGAUGACUUGUGGCUGGGGGUGAAAGGCCAAUCAAACCGGGAGAUAGCUGGUUCUCCCCGAAAGCUAUUUAGGUAGCGCCUCGUGAAUUCAUCUUCGGGGGUAGAGCACUGUUUCGGCUAGGGGGUCAUCCCGACUUACCAACCCGAUGCAAACUACGAAUACCGAAGAAUGUUAUCACGGGAGACACACGGCGGGUGCUAACGUCCGUCGUGAAGAGGGAAACAACCCAGACCGCCAGCUAAGGUCCCAAAGUCAUGGUUAAGUGGGAAACGAUGUGGGAAGGCACAGACAGCCAGGAUGUUGGCUUAGAAGCAGCCAUCAUUUAAAGAAAGCGUAAUAGCUCACUGGUCGAGUCGGCCUGCGCGGAAGAUGUAACGGGGCUAAACCAUGCACCGAAGCUGCGGCAGCGACACUAUGUGUUGUUGGGUAGGGGAGCGUUCUGUAAGCCUGCGAAGGUGACCUGUGAGGGUUGCUGGAGGUAUCAGAAGUGCGAAUGCUGACAUAAGUAACGAUAAAGCGGGUGAAAAGCCCGCUCGCCGGAAGACCAAGGGUUCCUGUCCAACGUUAAUCGGGGCAGGGUGAGUCGACCCCUAAGGCGAGGCCGAAAGGCGUAGUCGAUGGGAAACAGGUUAAUAUUCCUGUACUUGGUGUUACUGCGAAGGGGGGACGGAGAAGGCUAUGUUAGCCGGGCGACGGUUGUCCCGGUUUAAGCAUGUAGGCUGAUUGUCCAGGCAAAUCCGGAUAAUCAAGGCUGAGGUGUGAUGACGAGGCACUACGGUGCUGAAGUAACAAAUGCCCUGCUUCCAGGAAAAGCCUCUAAGCAUCAGGUAACAUCAAAUCGUACCCCAAA